GUGUCCCGUGGGACGGGCCGGACCGCGGGGCUCGGGGCGGGGGUCGCGGGGCGGCGCAGGGGCCGGGCCGGGCGGGGCGGGAUCUGGGCCCUGCGCGCCGCGGUCCGGCCGCGGUGCGCGCGGAGCGGCGGCGGCGGGAGCCCGAGCCCCGCCGUGAGCCCCGGGCCCGGGGCCGCCCCGAGGCCUGCCCGCCGUCCGCUCCGCUCUGCUCCGCUCCGCUCCCCGCCGCUCCCCGCCGCCCCCCGCCCCGCGCCGCUCCGCCCGGGCCCGCAGGCCGCUCCCCCGCCGCCGCUCCUCCCGCCGGGCCGCGCCGCGCCGGCUCCGCCGGGCGAUGAGGAGCUGCUUCUGCCUGCGCCGGGGGAGCCGCGACCCGCCGCCCGCCGCCCGGGCAACAGGGCCCAGACUUGCUCUCUUUUAUUGCCUGCAGCACGAUGUUUGUUCAGACUGGGCAUUGUGAAGUGUAAACCCAGGUCCCACUGGCACCAGUACUCACCUCUGCCUUUUCUAGAAGCAGUAAGUAACCAGCCGUCUAAAUGGCCUAGAAAUGCUGGGGUUUGAUUGCUCUGAGGAGGGAAUUGAAUUAGGCAGCUCUGGUUCACGGCUUGCCUGGCUGUGCAGCAGUGAUGCUUGUUUACACAAAGCACUUGCCCUUUUGUCUUGGGGUGUGUGGGGGGCGGUUUCCUGGGGCAUUCCUGCCUGCUGAAAGCCAGAGAAGACUUGCUUUAACUGGCUGCCUCUGCAGGAGACCACAUGCUGAGGCAGUGACACCUCUCCCCAUCCUCCACCUCAGUUGUUUCAGCCCCUUUCUUGUCCUCUCCUCCUGCUUCCUGCAGCAGCAUCCCUCCGAAAUUAGUUGGUCUUACCUGCUUCUGUCCCUUUUGCCUAUCUCCCUCCCCUGAUGUUCUUGGUGAUGUGUCUCUUCUGGAAGAUGCUCGGGCCUCCUCAAGGCCUCUCUGCUUUGCACCAGCCCACCCUGUGCUUCCUCUGUGCUCCCUGGUGUUGAGGCUCCCUGCAGCCAGUGCGGUUCUGCAUCCAGCGCCAGAGACAUCUGUGCUGCUCCUUGAAAACGGUCUGGCUGAGGGGGGUGUGAUGGGACUGAAGACUCAUGGGGGAGCCCCAGCAUGUCUUAACACCCACAGUGAAUGGGGAACCUCCCUCUAAAGCCAUUAGGAGCAGAUUUCUUGCUGUUUAAAAUGACAGAGCUGUUUCAACCAGCCUGACUUGGGGAUGAAAUUUGUUCUCUUUUUGGGAGGGAAGGGGUUGAGCUUU
rnacentral:lncRNA from 1 species